GUGUAUAUAUCUGUGAACAGAGCUCUCCUGUCAGAGACACUCUUUCCUGAUCACAUCUGAAACCUACAGCCUUAAAAAAUAAACAGGACGCGCGGUCACGAGAAUGUUUAGCAGAAGGCUGCUUAUCAUCGUCUGUCUUCAUCUCUGUGCAGGCAUUGGACAAAAUGAAGCGUGUGAACUGGCUGAAUGUUUCAACUGUUCUCAACCUCUAGAUUUUAAUGUGACCAUAAAACCCACUUCCACUAAAGUUCAAGAGGGUGUGACCGUGAUUCUUAACUGCACUCAUAACGUUCCCAAUGGCUCCAUUAGCUGGCUAAAGGACAAUGUAUUACAAGAAAACGAAAAUAAAGAAAUAUUUCAAAUCAAGUACAUUCUAAAAACCGCAGUGAUCAACUGCCAGGUUACAAGUAGUUGUGGGAACUACAACGAUACUAUAACAAUUGAAGUAGAAGCUGCUAAUAAUUUGGUGGUUUUACUGAUUUGUGUCGGAGCAGCAGCUGCUCUCCUCAUGCUGUUUGCAAUAGUCAUGAAGAUCGCACUCAAGAGAGGACAAGCUCAGAGUCAGGCCAGGAAAAGACAAAGACAGCAGAACCUGGAGAACAUCCACAGCUCUGUGAACACCGUCACCAGCUACUACUGAGAGAGAGCGCUUCUGCAGCCCAAGCUCCUGAUUCAGAGACCUUUCAGUUCUACACUCCAAAUAUAUUUAGACCUAAAUUUAUGAACUGCAUAUACAAUUUCCGUCCAUCUGGAUUAUACAAUUUUAACAUAAACUAAUAAUUGAGCUUUUAACGUGAACUCUAUGAACUUUAUAUGCGAUUCAAAUCAGUUUUGCUCACAUGUUAUUAUUAAAUGAUAUGGUGUAAAGUUGACUCGCUGGAUAGAUGGCAAUGGAAUGGUGUGUUUUUUUGACUUGUUAGGUCAUCCUAAAAACACAUGCGGAAAUGAAUAAUGUGAAAUACAGUGGUCUCCCACAGUUAUCAGUGAAAACAGCAAACGAAGGAAGAUUCGUCUUUGCACCGUUUUGUGAGCAAACACUUUACAAUAAGGUUCCAAUUGUUAAUAUUAGUUAACUACAUAAACAAACAAGGAAAAAUACUUCUAAAGCAUUUAUUAGUCUUAAAUUAUGUUGAUUCCAACAUUUACUAAUACAAUAUUAACAUUAACAAGAGUUAUCUAUUAAUGUUAUUGAAUGGACCUGAGCUACCUGAACAAUGAACACUAAACAAAGAUUAAUAAAUACUGUAAUUAUGUAUUGCUCAUUGUUAGUUAAUGUUAGUUAAUGUACUAAUAUAGUUAACAAAUUAAACCUUAUUGUAAAAUGUUCCCUCGUUUUCAUUCUGAACAACUCAUUUUAUCUAGGUACAUGUAUAAUUCGUUUCUCUUCCAACUUAUUUUGAUUUAGAUUUUGUUUUAUUGCACAUUCCACAUUGUAAAUGUCUUGGAUUUUUACCAUUCCAAAGAGGUGUGUCAAUUCAUGCACUUAUGCACUAUUCUAUGCAGUUUUGUAGUAUAAAACACACUGAAAAUUCCAAAAAGGUGCACUUCAAAUACACAGAUGCAGUAUACCAAAGAAAUGUCACUCAAAUGUCAUCUUUAAUUACAUUUAAAGUAAGGAGGGGAUAUCAGACAAAAAUCAUUAUAUAAUUCAUACACUAGAUGGCAAAGUACAAUAAAUGAAUAUUGUAUAGUGCAUCAUUUGGGACACAACUCCUGUUACUGGGUUAGACUAUACUUUGAAGUUUUUAGUCCAUUAAAAUAUAACAUUUGCACAAACAUUUCAGUUUUUGUAUUGUGGCACCUUUUUCUGCAGGUUUUUUGACACAUUUUCAGAAAGAGAGGAGCAAUUAUUUUCUCUUGAACAGGAGAGAAAUCACAUAUGGGAUUUCUUUAACAUCUUAAUUGUUUCUUCUAGAAAGCAAUGAGAUUAAAUAGAGGGCAAAUUGAGACUCUUGUUUACAGUAUUGCCAAUAAUCUCACAUCUCAACAAUAUUGCAAACAGUGCUCAGAUUUGCCAAGAUACUAAAAUCUGCAUUAAAAGUCCAAAAAUGUAAAAAUCAACUCAAACAUUUUUCAUCAAACUCUCUUAAAAUCAAAAAAUCUAAUCUGCUAUCCGUAUUCAAUUUGUCUUGCAUGUCACUGAUUUGACAUGUUUGUUUCUUCGUGGGAACAGAGUUGGAGAAAUUUAGCAUUACAUCACUUAAUCACCAACAGAUCAUCUGCAGUGAAUGGGUGCCAUCAGAACGAGAGUCCAAAUAGUUGAUACAAACAUCACAAUAAUCCAUAAGUAAUCCACAUCACUCCAGUCCAUCAAUUAACAUCUUGUGGAGCCAAAAGUUGCAUGUUUGUAAGAAACAAAUCCAACAUUAGGACCUUUUAACUUUAAACUGUCGCUUCCGAGUCCAUAUCCAAAUGAAUGCUUCCUCCAUCCUAUUAUUAUUUUAGAACUGUUUUAGACUGUUUUCACUUGUAAACGGUGCUUGAUCUGUGCAUAUUUCUCUCCUAUUUCAGACAAGAUGAUUUUUUUCACUGGUGAAAACGAUUUUAUGGAAAGAGGACUAUUUUAGCUGAAAGCAACAGUUUGAAGUUAAAAACGUCAUGAUGGAUUUGUUUCUUACAAACACGCAACUUUUCACAUCACAAGAUGUUAAUUGUUGGACUGGAGGUGUGUGGAUUGCUUGUGGAUUAUUGCAAUGUUUUUAUCAACUGUUUGGACUUUCAUUCUGACGGCACCCAUUCACUGAAGAGGAGGUGAGCAAGUGAUGUAAUGCUAAAUUUCACUAAUCAUUUCUCAAAACUCAUCUACUUUAACCCUGUAGUAACAGUACUACUUAGCAGGGUUAGUAAGUCACUGUGAUUCCCCUCAGCACCUACAGCUAGAGAUAAUUCUGGUAAAGUCUCAGCAGGGGUGAGAAGGAGAGAGACACUAAAUCCGUCUUUCCUAAUUCUCCAUUCUGCAAGUCUUCUAUACUCACUGACAGAGUCCAGUACAACACAAGCUAAAAAUUGUAGCUCUCUAUCACACUCACAAACCC
rnacentral:lncRNA from 1 species